rnacentral:lncRNA from 12 species
GUAUUGCGUGGUGGCUGCGGGGAAGUAGGAGGAGAAACCCACGGUGGGGAUGCCAGCUGGUGAUGGCGCUGCUGGGAGGCACUUUUUCUUCUCUGAGAAGCCCGUUAAACCGCAGGGACUGGAGAGCUCUCCCAGCUUACUUCAUGGGGCUGAGAGGAGCUUGACAAGUACCCUGAGAUGCUUGGUAAGGAAGGCUUCCUGCAGUGGUUGAGGUAGUCACCGUCUUGGGCCAGAAGCAUACACCUCACCGUAUAAACCAGGACUGAAGAGCUCCUAGGACUUUAAAGGUCUGAUUUUGAUCAUGGAACGUCAGUCUUAGAAGUAAGAAAAAAAUAUCCUACCUCUGGCAUUACUUACAGCCUUGGAGAAGGCACCUGACCUCUUUUUUAUUUACCAUGUCUAUAAGAAGUUGGAUUUGGAAAGGUUCAAGUGGGAAUGAGACCAGCACCACGGAACACACUGCUUUCAGUUGAUCAUGCCUCCUCUAUCC